rnacentral:rRNA from 1 species
UCUCCGUAGGUGAACCUGCGGAGGGAUCAUUACACAAUAACAAGGCGGGCUGGACACCCCCAGCCGGGCACUGCUUCACGGCGUGCGCGGCUGGGCCGGCCCUGCUGAAUUAUUCACCCGUGUCUUUUGCGUACUUCUUGUUUCCUGGGUGGGCUCGCCCGCCAUCAGGACCAACCACAAACCUUUUGCAAUAGCAAUCAGCGUCAGUAACAACGUAAUUAAUUACAACUUUCAACAACGGAUCUCUUGGUUCUGGCAUCGAUGAAGAACGCAGCGAAAUGCGAUACGUAGUGUGAAUUGCAGAAUUCAGUGAAUCAUCGAAUCUUUGAACGCACAUUGCGCCCUUUGGUAUUCCAAAGGGCACGCCUGUUCGAGCGUCAUUUGUACCCUCAAGCUUUGCUUGGUGUUGGGCGUCUUUUGUCUCCAGUUCGCUGGAGACUCGCCUUAAAGUCAUUGGCAGCCGGCCUACUGGUUUCGGAGCGCAGCACAAGUCGCGCUCUUUGCCAGCCAAGGUCAGCGUCCAGCAAGCCUUUUUUUUCAACCUUUGACCUCGGAUCAGGUAGGGAUACCCGCUGAACUUAAGCA